rnacentral:tRNA from 1 species
GACAAGGUGGCCGAGUGGUUAAGGCGUUGGACUGCUAAUCCAAUGGGCUCUGCCCGCGUGAGUUCGAAUCUCAUCCUUGUCG